CUGCGCGGCGACCCACAGUGUUUGUGUUUCAAGGCUACUCGGGUGGCCGAAAGCCCCGUUACUGGGCCCACGCUAUCGCCUUAAGCUCAUUGAUGCGUUUCGCGCACUUGUAGGUAGCCAGCUUGCAGAAGCGCCAAAUGAGAAACCAAAACCAAAUAUAAUAGUUUGCUAUGAAUAAUUCCCAUCGUAGAACACCUGCUCAUUAAGCUGCUUAGCAAACAUGAGAUAUUAAGAAUUCACAAAUAAAGUUCGAUAUUUUUGGUGAAUUCAUGUUAUGCCUUAAAUUAAUGUUUUCCAAAUGUUUUUUUCAGCAAAUGUGUCAGGUUUUAUUCCGCUUUUAUAUAGCUGCGAGGCCUGUACGCAGUACGCAGUAUGCAGAUGCAUUGCAACAGCACAACUCUUUCCAACACUCUCUCGUCUCUCGCAAUCUCUCCGAAAAAACCUCCACCACUUUGCUCUCUGGCUGAUUGUUUUGAAUACACGCCUGGUGCAAAGUUCAGAAUAUACAAUUAAAUACAGCGGAUGCAAGGAGCAACGUAUCAGCUGUGUCUUUAUUUGUGUGUAGCGUUUAAUAAACUUUGCCGGCGGACAGCAUUUAAAAACCCUAAACGUAAUCAAUAUUGAUUGGUUUGUGAAAUGUAAAUCCGGGACCAAAUAUUCCUAUUUCAGAAUAACUCACAUACUUAAACGUCGUAUGUUAAAAAAAUAUAUCUAACUGAAAUUAAAAUAACAAAAAUAAGAGUGAUUAAUAUUCGCUUAGCGUAACAGAUUGGAAAAUAUUUAGCUCACCAUUUCCACGGACAACUAAUCUUAUUCCCAAGCAACAAUUGGCAAUUGGCGGAAAAGCAAGCUUUUUUGGACGGCUCAUAUUGGGCGAGCUUCAGGUGGCCAUAACAAAGAAAACAAGGAAAACAGAAGAAACUUUUAUGUGCCAAUGUUUACGUGGCAUCGUUUCCACUGGUUGGCCGGCUUCAGAUAUCUUUCGCAAGACACUACGAACGUUUCCCUCCAGCAGAGUGUGUAUUUAAGCCCGAUGUGGAACGGACCAAACACCAAAUCGCUAAUUCUUAUAUUCGGAUUGGGGUUCGACUGCCUAUUGGCGUUAUAGCCCGCGAUUUGGUUUUUUUUGCCAAGGCAACUUGUUGCUACGAAGUGUGGUUUUCAGUAGCUGUUGCGUUACGGCACCAUGAACAAGUAUAGUUGGAAUCAGUUUUUGGAAAACAAUAAUCUGUAAGUAGCUGAAUCAGGCGGGUCUCAAGCAAAAUGCAUCGCUUUAAGUUUGCACAUCUAAUAUAAGCCGCGUUUAUGAAACAAUUCAACAAGUGCCAGAACAACCGGUUUGCAAUUCCUGCCAAUUGUUGACAUC